UCCGGUGAUCCYGCCGGAAACUGAGGAUAAUGUUCCAUAGUUGAAUCGGCUUGGAAAAGUUUUUCAAUAAAAGGGAUAAGGAAAAUGGUCCUUAUCUGCUAUAGGAUAGGAUCGUGCUCGAUUAUGGUUGUUGGUGAAGUAAAGGCUCACCAAGCCGAUAAUCGAUAGGGGCCGUGAGAGCGGGAGCCCCGAGAUGGGUACUGAGACAACGACCCAGGCCUUACGAGGCGCAGCAGGCGCGAAACCUCCGCAAUACACGAAAGUGUGACGGGGUUACCCAAAGUGUUCUAUUUAGAACUGUGGUAGGUGAGUAAUGUUCCCUACUAGAAAGGAGAGGGCAAGGCUGGUGCCAGCCGCCGCGGUAAAACCAGCUCUUCAAGUGGUCGGGAUAAUAUUGGGCUUAAAGUGUCCGUAGCCGGUUUAGUAAGUUCCUGGUAAAAUCGGGUAGCUUAACUAUCUAUAUGCUAGGAAUACUACUAUACUAGAGGGCGGGAGAGGUCUGAGGUACUACAGGGGUAGGGGUGAAAUCUUAUAAUCCUUGUUGGACCACCAGUGGCGAAGGCGUCAGACUGGAGCGCGCCUGACGGUGAGGGGCGAAAGCCAGGGGAGCGAACCGGAUUAGAUACCCGGGUAGUCCUGGCCGUAAACGAUGCAUACUAGGUGAUGGUGUGGCCAUGAGCCGUAUCAGUGCCGUAGGGAAACCGUUAAGUGUGCCGCAUGGGAAGUACGGUCGCAAGGCCAAAACUUAAAGGAAUUGGCGGGGGAGCACCACAAGGGGUGAAGCCUGCGGUUCA
rnacentral:rRNA from 1 species